rnacentral:tRNA from 1 species
GGAGGUAUAGCUCAAGCGGUAGAGCGUGUGCUUAGCAUGCAUGAGGUCCUGGGUUCAAUCCCCAGCACCUCCU